rnacentral:rRNA from 1 species
CCUAUGGGGGGCAGCAGUGGGGAAUAUUGCACAAUGGGGGAAACCCUGAUGCAGCGACGCCGCGUGGGCGAGGAAGUACCUCGGUAUGUAAAGCCCUAUCAGCAGGGAAGAAACAGGACAGUACCUGACUAAGAAGCCCCGGCUAACUACGUGCCAGCAGCCGCGGUAAUACGUAGGGGGCAAGCGUUAUCCGGAUUCACUGGGCGUAAAGGGAGCGCAGGCGGCAUGGCAAGUCCGAUGUGAAAACCCAGGGCCCAACCCUGGGACUGCAUUUGAAACUGCCAUACUGGAGUGCCGGAGAGGUA